UUCUUCAUCUGUUUCCUUGGUUUUUAUAAUAAUGACCUUGGUGGGUUCCACCAAUCAGUGUUCUUCAACACACAGCCCCGCCCCCAAGAAUUCAGGGAAUCUGAAGAGUCCUGCCCCGUUUUCAAAUCUUUGAAGGUUGGGUCGAAAGAAACUUUCGAGGCCGGUUUAUUCAGUGGAAACAUGUCCCAGUUUAAACGCUGCUGAUUGGACAGCGUUGUUUGGGUGGGUGGAGCAUCAGACGAGACGAACAACAUAAAUGAAAGUUCAUAUUCUGGAUUUCAGCCAAUGAACAAUUAGAACAAAAUAAAAGUGUCGUUAACAUUCGACUGCGCUAGGCUCUGAUUGGUCAAUGACACGUGAAGCCCCGCCACCAUUGACGGACAUAUGAUCGUGACGUCGCAUUUAAGAUCAUUUUACAGGUGACCACAGUGUGGAGGAGGAGGCUGUUACCAUGACGACACCGUUAUGUGGUCUUAUUAUUAUGGGAUGUUUUCUGUAACUUCAUCCGUUCACUUUAUUAUUUGUAAAAUGAUCUUUGACUGUCGUGUCCCAGCGGAGGGGGCGGAGCCUCGCCUGUCCACAGGUGGAGAUCGGCCUCAGAUUCAGCCGAUCCAGCCAAUCAGAGACGAGCACGGUGCUCACUUGUUGAGUUCAGGUGUUUUUAAUGAAUGUGUUUAAUGGACGAAGUGUUUAUGUCGUUAUUUAUUUCAACCUUAUUUAUUGGUUUGUUUGAUUCUACAGAAUUAAACUCAUAUUUACGUCCAUGUUUUAUAGUUUAAGAGGCGCCAUCGUUGUCGUCUCUUCGUCCAGUUGCGAUGUUCGUGUCUGAGUCGAAUAAAACCCAGAGUUGGUUUAUUUAUUUUAUUUGGUAGAAACAGUCGCUCAGUGAAUGUGUUUGUGUUUUUUUUCGCAGUAUUUUGUAUCAACGUGAAAUGUUCGUUUGGUUUUUUAAUAAAAUAAAUGUUCAGUCAAACUGUU